GUUCAACUAAUACUGUGGCACCACCCCCGACCCUCGAAGUCGCAAAAAUCCAAAAGCAGCAGUUCCAACAUAAAAUCUUUUGUUGAUUCAACAGACAAAAACAUCACUUGGAUGAUUUUUCCAAUGAAAUACUCAAUUAAUUUUUGAAUUUCUGUCUUGAAAAAACAAAGAAACUUAGCAACUCAAAUUUCACUGCGCUGUUCAGUUUUAUUAAUGUGUAGGUAUUAUCGAAUCUAUGAAGAAGGAAAAGAUUAGGAAAAAUAAUAAGACAAAAAGAGCAAGAGAAAAGAAAAUAAGCAGGAUUUGAUUCUCACCUCAUGUUCUCAGUUUUCUUUAGGUUACUCCAACUCUCCUUUAGCUUUUUUUUUUUUUUUUUUUCUCAUUCGGUGUUCGGUACUCAUAUUGUGGCCCACUAAAUUCGAAUUCGUGUCGAAAAGUUUACAGUGGAGGGAGGGGGUAAAGCGCUCUCUAACAAAGACGACUACAUACCCGGACUCAAACCCGAGACCUCUGAGUAUGGAUGAUGGAGUCCAUCACAACCCUUGUUCGUCUCCUUUAGCUCUUUCUCUUCUGAAGACCUAAAAUAUAUCAGGUUUAAAGUUAAAAGUGCCAAAAGUUCUUUGAAAAACGACUAAAUCAACCAAAUCAAAUCUUAUUCAAACAAUCUUAGGUUUUGAUAAAAAUCUCCAACACUAUUGAACAAUUAGCUAAGGUAGGUUUUUAUUUUUGUAAACAAACAGAAAAAAAAAAGAACCGAAUAAUAUGAUGGUAAUAUUUCUAUAAUUCAAUCAAACUACAUCAAGAAAAUAAAGCACACACUGUGUGUGUGAGAGAGAGAUGAAAGACAACUUCUGAUCUAUCAGGUUGAGAUACCAUUAAUAAUCAGAACUUCACUUGCCAGGAAAGAAUAAUCACAGAUCUACACAGUCCUCAUUUCAUCAGCAGGGUCUUCAAAAAGAGCAGUGAACAGUCUCAAAAUAAAACAAAGAUCCAAAUUCACCUGUUAGAUUUUGAAAAAAUAAAAAUAAAAAUAAAAAACAGAUCGAUCUGACAAGAACAUUGUUUCAGUACUGAACUGAAAUACAGUAAAAAUAAAACAAGGUAAAUCCAUAUAUCUUGACAAAAACUGAACAAACCGUACUAUACUUCUGGGGUCUGAAUUUCUCCUUUUGCUUAGAGUGUCAGCCUUAAAAGAAAGUACUCUGGUUAGCAUAGGCACGACCAGACAUUUAUGAGUUCUGAAUUUUCUAUUAAAAUUUAUAGCUCGUUUAGUUACCUCAGCUCCAGUAAGUUAGGUAGUCGUUUAUUGCUAAUGCAG
rnacentral:lncRNA from 1 species